rnacentral:rRNA from 1 species
CCUACGGGAGGCAGCAGUGAGGAAUAUUGGUCAAUGGCCGGAAGGCUGAACCAGCCAUGCCGCGUGAAGGUCAGUGCCCUAUGGGCGUUAAACUUCUUUUGUGCGGGAGCAAUAAUGGUCACGUGUGGCCAGACGAGAGUACCGUACGAAUAAGCAUCGGCUAACUCCGUGCCAGCAGCCGCGGUAAUACGGGGGAUGCAAGCGUUAUCCGGAUUUAUUGGGGUUAAAGGGUGCGUAGGCUGUGAGGUAAGUCAUCGGUGAAAUGCCUCCGCUCAACGGGGUGAAGUGCCAUUGAUACUGCCUUGCUGGAAUGCGGAUGCCGUGGGAGGAAUGUGUGGUGUAGCGGUGAAAUGCAUAGAUAUCACACAGAACACCGAUUGCGAAGGCAUCUCACGAAUCCGCGAUUGACGCUGAUGCACGAAAGCGUGGGUAUCAAACAGGAUUAGAUACCCGGGUAGUC